rnacentral:rRNA from 1 species
AGCGUUAUCCGUCGUGAUUGGGUGUAAAAACAGCUAGGCUGCUAGGUUAUUCGCUCCAGAAAGAAACUUCUUUAAGGUUUGUAGAGCGCUUAACUUAUGCUUGGGUUAAUUGGACGUUUGUAGAAUCGUAAGUGGAGCGGUAAAAUGCUUAGAUAAUUGCGGAAUUUCCGAAAUAUGGCAAGGCGACCUGCGACAAUUAACCGACGCUGAACUGUUAAAGUAUAAGUAUCGAAGAGGAUUGGAGACCCUCCUAGUUUAUACCCUGAAUAAUGAAUGUCAAUUUUUAAAGUUAGCUAACGCACGAACAUUCUGCCUGAAGAGUAAGGCCGCAAGGGCUAAAUUUAAAGAGAUUGGCGGGAGUUUAGAUAAAUGGUGGAAUAUGUGGUUUAAUUCGAUAAUCCGCGGGAAACCUUACCAGUGUACGACGCCAGACUAAGAUAACUAAGUGUCUAGUCUUAUCGAUGUUUGUUUCGUUUAGGUACUGCAUGGCUGUCAUCAGUUCGUAAUGUAGGUAUAUUUCGAACACAAUCUUUAAUAAUUACUAAGCAGGCUAUACCGCCGUUUGGUAUGAAACAAAGCUACUAACGGCUCUGUUUAUUGUAGUUUUUUCAUUUAUUUUUAAGUGAAUUGGGAGGAGAAGUCAAGUCAUUAUGGUCUUAAUAUGCUGGGCUACACACGUAUUACAGGGCUAAAGACAAUGAAUUUCGCUUUAAAGCGGUUAAUUUCUAAAAAUUAGCUCGGUUCGAAUCGUUCUUUGAAAUUGAGGAGCGUGAAGUAGGAAUCAUUAGUAAUCGCAAAUAAGAUCGCUGCGAUGAAUCUUUAUAUACUUUGCACACACCGCCCAUCAUAUUCGAAGAGUUGUCGCGGUUUAAAGGUUUACGCUCGUUUCGGUAUAUUAAGUAUACUGUAAAUUAGUUUACCUAAAAACGCGGUG